CUCUCUCUCUCUCUCUCUCUCUCUCGUUUUUGCUUUCUGUCUCGCUCUUCCUCUCGCUCACCUGCCAAUUGUUGUCUGAAGAACUCCACCAGUAUGAAUCUCUCCCUCGAACUCUCAAUCUCUCUGUUUCUGUCUCAAUCACUCUUCCUCUCUUUACCUCUCAAUCUCUCUUACGCACAAUCUUGCUUUCUCUCUCUCUCUCUAUAUCUGUAUACACCUCUCACCGCAAUUUGCUCGAUUCAUCACAGAGAAACCCUAACUUUGCUAGUAGACCGCAUUGAAAAGGUCUUUUGGAGUUCUCAAAUACAGCAGAGUAAGCUCACCUAUCAUGCAUUUCAUCUAUCUCAAAAUUCACUUACAUUACACACACAGAGACUAUCUUUGAGUUUCAUUGUGCACAAAUCAGGUACUCCUUGAACUACUUGGAUUGAUCAAAUUACUCCACCUUAGAUUCAGUAGAGUAAGAUUUAACUUCUUUUUUGUAAGUACUCCACCUUUUCAUAUUUCUUUCAUUUUGGUGAUAGUUGUUGCUAAUAAUAAUAAAUUACUUCAAACUUUGAGCAACUACUUCUGCAUCUUUGAGAAUCUGAUAGUGCUCUAGGACUUUUCUCAAACUGUAUGAUAUGAGAGAUCAUGUAAAUAAAUCUGAGGUUAUUGAUUCUUUCUUUCUUUCUUUCUUUUUUUUUUUUUUUUGAACAAUGAGCUUAUUGAUUCUGUUCUUGAUGUCGUGAGGAAGGAGGCUGCGAAUUCUGUCAUUUUUUGCCUUUGGCUAAAUGUUGUUCAUCAAGUUUAAAGUAAAGAAGAAGCAGUUUUUUCAAAACUUCAUGACUAUCAUGCUAUUUGGUGCUAUUGGUACUCUGAUAUCCUUUGCCAUCAUCUCCUUUGAGAGUGCUCUGGAUGAGAGAACUCAUCGGAGGGCAGCACUUGAAGCAUCUCUUCGUGAGGUUUUAUUUCAGAUAAUAAAAUUUGUGAAUGAGAAAAAAGAUCACGUUCCACCCAUACCGAAUCUUGAAAGUGUCUCCUUUCCCUAUGAAAUUACUCUCUCAAGGAUGAAAAUCGGGCAGCUUGGAUUUAGCCCACAUACAUAGCAUUCAACUUUUCUAGGAACCUAAGAAGAAGAUUCACGGUGCAAGCUUGGAUUUGAGGAACAUACAUCUCCAUGGUAACAAAUUGGAACUAGACCGGUACCUUGUACAAUGGUGAACAUCAGCAUUGUAGAUUUUGACUUUACUAGCAUUUUAUUUGGAUUGUAUAUUUUUCAUAAAAGAAUUUUUUUUCAAGUUUUUAGUUGUAAUAACUUUCACAUAUGGCUCUAAUUUUGAGACUCAAAUGGAAUGCCUAAUUAAAGUACAAUGUUAUAUUGUCUAAAUUCUUGUC